rfam:Trichobilharzia regenti genome assembly, scaffold: TRE_scaffold0120532
CCCACGGCCCUUAUUAGGGCCACCCCACAUGUUUUUGAAUGAGCUUG